UACGUAGGUGGCAAGCGUUACUCGGAAUCACUAGGCGUAAAGCGCAGGUAGGAGGUUUGGUAAGUCUAUUGUGAAAGCUCCCGGCUUAACCGGGAGAGGUCAAUGGAAACUACCAGGCUGGAGUGCGGUAGAGGUAGCUGGAAUUCCCGGUGUAGCGGUGAAAUGCGUAGAUAUCGGGAGGAAUACCUAUGGCGAAAGCAGGCUACUGGACCGUCACUGACUCUGAUCUGCGAAAGCUAGGGGAGCAAACAGG
rnacentral:rRNA from 1 species